GGUGUCUCGGCUAAUGUGUCUUGGCUAAGGUGUCUUGGCUAAUGUGUCUUGGCUAAUGUGUCUUGGCUAAGGUGUCUUGGCUAAGGUGUCUUGGCUAAGGUGUCUUGGCUAAUGUGUCUUGGCUAAGGUGUCUUGGCUAAGGUGUCUUGGCUAAGGUGUCUUGGCUAAGGUGUCUUGGCUAAGGUGUCUUGGCUAAUGUGUCUCGGCUAAUGUGUCUUGGCUAAUGUGUCUUGGCUAAGGUGUCUUGGCUAAGGUGUCUUGGCUAAUGUGUCUUGGCUAAGGUGUCUUGGCUAAGGUGUCUUGGCUAAUGUGUCUUGGCUAAUGUGUCUUGGCUAAUGUGUCUUGGCUAAUGUGUCUUGGCUAAUGUGUCUUGGCUAAGGUGUUUUGGCUAAUGUGUCUUGGCUAAGGUGUCUUGGCUAAUGUGUCUUGGCUAAUGUGUCUUGGCUAAUGUGUCUUGGCUAAGGUGUCUUGGCUAAUGUGUCUUGGCUAAUGUGUCUUGGCUAAUGUGUCUUGGCUAAGGUGUCUUGGCUAAUGUGUCUCGGCUAAGGUGUCUUGGCUAAGGUGUCUUGGCUAAGGUGUCUUGGCUAAUGUGUCUUGGCUAAGGUGUCUCGGCUAAUGUGUCUUGGCUAAGGUGUCUUGGCUAAGGUGUCUUGGCUAAUGUGUCUUGGCUAAGGUGUCUUGGCUAAUGUGUCUUGGCUAAGGUGUCUUGGCUAAUGUGUCUUGGCUAAUGUGUCUUGGCUAUUGUGUCUUGGCUAAGGUGUCUUGGCUAAGGUGUCUUGGCUAAUGUGUCUUGGCUAAUGUGUGUCGGCUAAUGUGUCUUGGCUAAUGUGUCUUGGCUAAGGUGUCUUGGCUAAGGUGUCUUGGCUAAUGUGUCUUGUCUAAUGUGUCUUGGCUAAUGUGUCUUGGCUAAUGUGUCUUGGCUAAGGUGUCUUGGCUAAGGUGUCUUGGCUCAUGUGUCUUGGCUAAAGUGUCUUGGCUAAGGUGUCUUGGCUAAGGUGUCUUGGCUAAGGUGUCUUGGCUAAGGUGUCUUGGCUAAGGUGUCUUGGCUAAUGUGUCUCGGCUAAGGUGUCUUGGCUAAUGUGUCUUGGCUAAGGUGUCUUGGCUAAGGUGUCUUGGCUAAGGUGUCUUGGCUAAGGUGUCUUGGCUAAUGUGUCUCGGCUAAAGUGUCUUGGCUGAGGUGUCUUGGCUAAGGUGUCUUGGCUAAGGUGUCUUGGCUAAGGUGUCUUGGCUAAGGUGUCUUGGCUAAUGUGUCUCGGCUAAAGUGUCUUGGCUGAGGUGUCUUGGCUAAGGUGUCUUGGCUAAUGUGUCUUGGCUAAUGUGUCUUGGCUAAAGUGUCUUGGCUAAAGUGUCUUGGCUAAGGUGUCUUGGCUAAUGUGUCUUGGCUAAGGUGUCUUGGCUAAGGUGUCUUGGCUAAGGUGUCUUGGCUAAUGUGUCUCGGCUAAGGUGUCUUUGCUAUUGUGUCUUGUCUAAGGUGUCUUGGCUAAGGUGUCUUGGCUAAGGUGUCUUGGCUAAGGUGUCUUGGCUUAUGUGCCUCGGCUAAUGUGUCUUGGCUAAUGUGUCUUGGCUAAGGUGUCUUGGCUAAGGUGUCUUGGCUAAGGUGUCUUGGCUAAGGUGUCUUGGCUAAUGUGUCUCGGCUUAAGUGUCUUGGCUAAGGUGUCUUGGCUAAGGUGUCUUGGCCAAGGUGUCUUGACUAAGGUGUCUUGGCUAAUGUAACUCGGCUAAUGUGUCUUGGCUAAUGUGUCUUGGCUAAGGUGUCUUGGCUAAGGUGUCUUGGCUAAUGUGUCUCGGCUAAGGUGUCUUGGCUAAGGUGUCUUGGCUAAGGUGUCUUGGCUAAUGUGUCUUGGCUAAGGUGUCUUGGCUAAGGUGUCUUGGCUAAGGUGUCUUGGCUAAUGUGUCUUGGCUAAUGUGUCUCGGCUAAGGUGUCUUGGCUAAGGUGUCAUGGCUAAUGUGUCUUGGCUAAGGUGUCUUGGCUAAGGUGUCUUGGCUAAUGUGUCUUGGGUAAUGUGUCUUGGCUAAUGUGUCUUGGCUAAUGUGUCUCGGCUAAAGUGUCUUGGCUAAUGUGUCUUGGCUAAUGUGUCUUGGCUAAUGUGUCUUGGCGAAGGUGUCUUGGCUAAGGUGUCUUGGCUAAGGUGUCUUGGCUAAUGUGUCUUGGCUAAAGUGUCUUGGCUAAUGUGUCUUGGCUAAUGUGUCUUGGCUUAUGUGUCUUGGCUAAUGUGUCUUGGCUAAGGUGUCUUGGCUAAGGUGUCUUGGCUUAGGUGUCUUGGCUAAGGUGUCUUGGCUAAGGUGUCUUGGCUAAUGUGUCUCGGCUAAAGUGUCUUGGCUAAGGUGUCUUGGCUAAGGUGUCUUGGCUAAGGUGUCUUGGCUAAGGUGUCUUGGCUAAUGUGUCUCGGCUAAAGUGUCUUGGCUAAGGUGUCUUGGCUAAGGUGUCUUGGCUAAGGUGUCUUGGCUAAGGUGUCUUGGCUAAGGUGUCUUGGCUAUUGUGUCUUGGCUAAGGUGUCUUGGCUAAGGUGUCUUGGCUAAUGUGUCUUGGCUAAGGUGUCUUGGCUAAUGUGUCUUGGCUAAGGUGUCUUGGCUAAGGUGUCUUGGCUUAUAUGUCUUGGCUAAGGUGUCUUGGCUAAGGUGUCUUGGCUAAUGUGUCUCGGCUAAGGUGUCUUGGCUAAAGUGUCUUGGCUAAUGUGUCUUGGCUAAGGUGUCUUGGCUAAUGUGUCUUGGCUAAGGUGUCUUGGCUAAGGUGUCUUGGCUAAGGUGUCUUGGCUUAAGUGUCUUGGCUAAUGUGUCUUGGCU